rnacentral:rRNA from 1 species
AGAUAGAUCAGGCCUUCGGGACAGAAGAGACAGGUGGUGCAUGGUUGUCGUCAGCUCGUGUCGUGAGAUGUUGGGUUAAGUCCCGCAACGAGCGCAACCCUUAUCAUUAGUUGCUAACAUUCAGUUGAGAAACUCUAAAUGAGACUGCCAGUGAUAAACUGGAGGAAGGUGGGGAUGACGUCAAAUCAUCAUGCCCCUUAUGACCUGGGCUACACACGUGCUACAAUGGCCGGUACAAAGAGUUGCGAAACUGUGAAGUUAAGCUAAUCUCAUAAAGCCGGUCUCAGUUCGGAUUGUAGUCUGCAACUCGACUAUAUGAAGUCGGAAUCGCUAGUAAUCGCGAAUCAGAAUGUCGCGGUGAAUACGUUCUCGAGUCUU